rnacentral:rRNA from 1 species
UACGUAGGGUGCGAGCGUUGUCCGGAAUUAUUGGGCGUAAAGGGCUCGUAGGCGGUUUGUCGCGUCGGGAGUGAAAACUCAGGGCUCAACCCUGAGCCUGCUCCCGAUACGGGCAGACUAGAGGUAUGCAGGGGAGAACGGAAUUCCUGGUGUAGCGGUGAAAUGCGUAGAUAUCGGGAGGAACACCUGUGGCGAAAGCGGCUCACUGGACCAUUACUGACGCUGAUGCUCGAAAGCUAGGGGGAGCAAACAGG